GAUGAACGCUGGCGGCGUGCCUAAUACAUGCAAGUCGAGCGAACAGACGAGGAGCUUGCUCCUCUGACGUUAGCGGCGGACGUGUGAGUCACACGUGGAUAACCUCCCUAUAAGACUGGGAUAACUUCGGGAAACCGGAGCUAAUACCGGAUAAUAUCUUGAACCGCAUGGUUCAAUAGUGAAAGACGGUUUUGCUGUCAGUUAUAGAUGGAUCCGCGCCGUAUCAGCUAGUUGGUAGGGUAACGGCUUACCAAGGCGAUGAUGGGUAGCCGGCCUGAGAGGGUGACCGGCCACAGUGGGACUGAGAUACGGCCCAGACUCCUACGGGAGGCAGCAGUGGGGAAUAUUGCACAAUGGGCGAAAGCCUGAUGCAGCAACGCCGCGUGCGGGAUGACGGCCUUCGGGUUGUAAACCGCUUUCGCCAGUGACGAAGCGUGAGUGACGGUAACGGGUAAAGAAGCACCGGCUAACUACGUG
rnacentral:rRNA from 1 species